UCCAGUCUUGCUCUCAGUAGCUAUUUUAGAAGCACUGCUUCAAGCAUGGCUAGUGAUCUUGGCUGGUGUGCUGGCAUCUUGGCCUGGUGAACUCGCAUACAAACCUUGCCCCCUGAUAACUGGACCUUUCUUUUUUGAGUGUUUAUUACUGGUCUCUGCUCCCUGCUGGAGUGGUCCAUGGAGUUACACUCCCCCCAGAAGGCAGCAGUGUCCUAGCAGAAGAGAUGAGGGGGCUCUGAAAGCAGUUUCUUGGAAAUCCCUCAGAACCAGCAGACAUGAAAAAUACAACUGAAAUCUUGAAGUCUUUGAUGAGGGAGCUGAAGACUUAUUUCACAGAUAAUCCCAGACACAAGUAUGGCUUUGGCUUUCUGCAAUAGUCAGCAUGAGCAGAAGUACACUCUCCAGCCUGAAUGGCACUGUUGAAACAAACAUGUAUCUGGAGUGAUACAGCAUCCACAGUGGAUUGAAGACUCUACCAGAUUUUUCACUGUAACAGUUCCAAGAACGCCUGGGGAGCUGCAGUUUGUCAACAGAGUGGCCGGAGUUCCAGGAAAGAUGAUUGUUCAUAAAACAAGUGCCCAAACAUUGGACUGAAGCCAAAGACUUUGCAAUCAGGAAAUGGACUUCCAGUUCUGUUAUAAUAAUUUUAAUUUAUAUAUUAAAU